AUGUGCAGGAAAAUGAGUAACCAGCCCUGGGGAUCAUACUUGAAAAAUCAGGAAGUGAUGCCUUCGAAGCCAGGACCCAUGAUGAUGCCCCAUUUUCAUCCUCCUAAGAAGCAUGUGCUGCCUGUCAGGAGAACCAGCCCCUUGGACACCAGCUGUUCUUUUCAUGUUCAGAGGGACAGAAAUCAGCAGAAGAAUCAGAGCAAAACAGCCACCCUCUCCCACUCACUCCUUCUCACCACUGAUAGCAGCGAUGGGCCAGGGACCAAUGCAGAGGGAAAGAGAACACUUCAGUUCAUCCUCAGCUCCCAGCACUCUGCAGGAAGACCAUGCAAUAGAAGAGUCACAGCACGAAGAGAAGUCAGGGUCAC
rnacentral:lncRNA from 1 species